GCCAGAUUCUUUAACCGUCAGAUCUCAUGGGAAAUAAGGAUACAAAUUCUGGAGCAGCAACUGAUUUACCAGGAAACACUGAGGAGUAGAGCAAGGUAAAGAAUUUUAACUGUUUGGGGUUCGUUACUUCACACUUAAGAAAUCUACAAACCACAGGAAAUGAAACUUGACUAAAUGCAGAUGACACAGACAGCCAACUCCGAAAAUGUGCUGGGCUCCACUCAGUUCUAGGUGACCUUUAGCAAAAAGAGGGUGUUCUGAUGAAACCCUUUGACCAUAACCAACAGCCUCCAACUUACAGGAUUCUCCCCUCGUAUGACCAAGUGGUGUAAUCUUUGAGGUCCUGGCAGCACAGGUUGAGUGCAACCUAAAAGAGAAUGAGGAUUCCACAAGGUCUUCUGGAAUGGUACACUUAUUGGAAACUUGUUUCAGCAUUCAAAAAAACCUGGCCUGUUUCUAAAGCAAUGCAUGGUUUAAGAGGAAUGGCAAAUUGAAGCCAACGUUUUUCAAACACAUUUCACUUAAAAAAAAAUGGCCACUAGAAAGAAUGCAACUUAUUUUCAAAAAGAAUUAUCUCAAGAAAGCAUGGUUGGCCCAUUCAUCCAUCUCCCUGCCCACAAGGGAAUGAAUGAAUGAAGACAAGAUGUGCCACCUCUGAAAGACUGUUAAUCUCCCUCUCUCUAUAAAAGUGGUACUAUGUAAUUUCUACUCAUUUGGUUACAAAUAAAAUUAGUAAGUGAAGGAUCCGUAGUUUCUGUAUGUCACCUACAAACCUG
rnacentral:lncRNA from 1 species